GCACGUCGGACUCACGGCAGAAACAAGUUAGGGUACCCUCACACACAUCAUCGGAAAAAAGUCCGGCUCCAAGCACAGGACUCCGCAGGCGUUGAAAGAGAAACUUUUUUUCAGAGCCUCGGCUGAAAACAAGGUGGCUAUGAGAGAAAAAACAGCUCAGUACCCCAAAAGCGUCAAGCCUGAGAGGGGGUCUGGAUGAGGCAACAGACAAGCGGCGGUGAGACGGGAUCACUGACCUCUGCACAGCCGUCGGCCUAUAAGAGCUUUCAUCUCAGAGGCACGAGAAGAGGUGGAGGACGGAGACUAAUGUACAUAAACAACACAAGACAAAUCACCAGAGAGGCUGAAAGAUAAUGGAAGCAGCAGUUCUUGCACUAAUGUUGCCUGGCAACCAGACCAAGGUGAUUUAGAAACUGAAUACAUUCGCUGAAUAUUUGUCUUAAAAGUGGCGUUUCCAUGCGUCGAAGCAGGUAAAUGUCUGGCAAAAUUCAUCAGGCACGUCUGUUUCCAUUUCGUGGGACAAAACACAAGAAUGGAGAUGCGGGCUUGUGAGUGGUGGACUGUAACUUCAAAUCCUCAGGCCGACUAUCUGGGCAAAUCCAGGAUGAGUGAAAGAGAGUGAGCGACGCACCAGUCCUUUUUAACAAGCUCUGCGUGGGUGCCCUUUAACAUGGCAAUUGACCCCCCCCGACACCUCCAGUGAAUGGUCAGCAGCACAAAACUGCACUUGUGUUGCGCAGGCGUGUGCACAUCUUUAUCACGUUUCUGGCAUGAAAAAAGGGGAAAGAUAUAGCUGGUGCUGGAUGUCUGUAUCAAAUCUAAGGUCGUUCAUUAAUGAUUGAACGCAUUUUCAAGCACAUUAAAGGUCGGAAAGACACAAUGAAAGAACUUGCACCGGGAGUUGGCAGUAUCAUUAUUGCACAAGCGAAAAAAUCCAUCUUGUAUUCCUUCUUAAAAUCUUUAAAGUGUAGUCUGUCUUGAGGUCCGCUGGCCUGGAGGGAUAAUUUAUUUAACGUAAUAAAUUUUGGGA